AUCUAAAGAGUGGGAAACCAGACACUUGAGCGUGAAGACCAAGGAAACUUGUAAAAGCAGAAAAGCUGGCCACACUUCAAAGGAGAGACAGCUUGAACAGAAAGGGAAAGUCCUACAGGGAGUCACGAAGCCUGCUAUAUCACAGUCAGUUUCCUCAUCUGCUGAGUAAGCUUUGAGACUGUCAAGGUCCCUUCCAGUCCUAAUACGAAAAGCUUCUGCUUUCUCAUCAUGAGAGGCUACUUCACCACAGCACUCACCACUGGGCAAUGAGAAGAUGCCCAAGAGCCACUCAGACCCUGGAAAACCAAAACGCACACUGACUUGAUAACUACAUCAUAGGAAAUGCCACAAUUUUGAGAUUACACCUACAGAUCGACUGGCUAGAAAUAAACCAAUUGCUGAAUCUUCCAAAGUUCUUCCAAAAGACAGUAUCACAUUCUACCUUGAUAAAGGCAAUGGCUUCUUCCAUGCCUGACUUUCACAGCUAAUGCUCUGUCCCAAAAUCCACUUCCACCCCCUGGCCCCUUCCCCUCGUGCCUGGGGCCUGGGGUGCUGCCCACCACUGCUUCCCCAAAGCCUACUCUGCCCUUCCCACAGCACCAGCACCCAGUUCGAAAGAGCUAGAGGGAUAGGAGCUGCCUCAGGUAGUGGCAGAGGACCCAAAAGGAGAUCUCUGGAGUGGCUAGGAACUUUCUCAUCCUCAGCUGCAAGAGGAACCGACACAGAGAAGAAAAAUCAAGUAUAAGUUUACAAAUGUGCCUUCUCUUUUUCCAAGCCGAAUGCAUCCAGAAAACAAGGGAUGGGAAGAAAUCUGGAAUCCCUGACCUGUUGCACGAAUCCAUCAACCACUAAAAUAAAUG
rnacentral:lncRNA from 1 species